UCCAACUUGAAGGUGGGCGGGAGAUAGAUAAGGCCUGCAAGGGCACUGUCUAGUUCUCGACUCGAUUAUCUUGUAUGAGCUGAGUGGUAGACCAAUCCUACCAUAACUAAAGGGGUGAGGAAGAAAAACAAAGAUCAACCUACUACCAAAAGGAAAGGCGAUACCCCGCUGAAGGCAGCAAGCACCAUCCACUUGUUGGAACGAG
rnacentral:misc_RNA from 1 species